rnacentral:rRNA from 1 species
GACGAACGCUGGCGGCGUGCUUAACACAUGCAAGUCGAACGGUAAGGCCCUUCGGGGUACACGAGUGGCGAACGGGUGAGUAACACGUGGGCGAUCUGCCCUGCACUUCGGGAUAAGCCUGGGAAACUGGGUCUAAUACCGGAUAGGACCCUGGGAUGCAUGUCCUGGGGUGGAAAGCUUUUGCGGUGUGGGAUGGGCCCGCGGCCUAUCAGCUUGUUGGUGGGGUGAUGGCCUACCAAGGCGACGACGGGUAGCCGGCCUGAGAGGGUGACCUGCCACGCUGGGACGGAGAUACGGCCCAGACUCCUACGGGAGGCAGCAGUGGGGAAUAUUGCACAAUGGGCGCAAGCCUGAUGCAGCGACGCCGCGUGAGGGAUGACGGCCUUCGGGUUGUAAACCUCUUUCAGCACCGACGAAGCGCAAGUGACGGUAGGUGCAGAAGAAGGACCGGCCAACUACGUGCCAGCAGCCGCCGUAA